rnacentral:rRNA from 1 species
AGUGAACGCUGGCGGUAGGCCUAACACAUGCAAGUCGAACGGCAGCACAGGAGAGCUUGCUCUCUGGGUGGCGAGUGGCGGACGGGUGAGGAAUACAUCGGAAUCUACUCUGUCGUGGGGGAUAACGUAGGGAAACUUACGCUAAUACCGCAUACGACCUACGGGUGAAAGCAGGGGAUCUUCGGACCUUGCGCGAUUGAAUGAGCCGAUGUCGGAUUAGCUAGUUGGCGGGGUAAAGGCCCACCAAGGCGACGAUCCGUAGCUGGUCUGGAAGGAUGAUCAGCCACACUGGAACUGAGACACGGUCCAGACUCCUACGGGAGGCAGCAGUGGGGAAUAUUGGACAAGGGGCGCAAGCCUGAUCCAGCCAUACCGCGUGGGUGAAGAAGGCCUUCGGGUUGUAAAGCCCUUUUGUUGGGAAAGAAAUCCAGCUGGCUAAUACCCGGUUGGGAUGACGGUACCCAAAGAAUAAGCACCGGCUAACUUCGUGCCAGCAGCCGCGGUAA